AUUGAACGCUGGCGGCAUGCCUUACACAUGCAAGUCGAACGGUAACAGGUCUUCGGAUGCUGACGAGUGGCGAACGGGUGAGUAAUACAUCGGAACGUGCCUAGUAGUGGGGGAUAACUACUCGAAAGAGUGGCUAAUACCGCAUGAGAUCUACGGAUGAAAGCAGGGGAUCGCAAGACCUUGUGCUACUAGAGCGGCCGAUGGCAGAUUAGGUAGUUGGUGGGAUAAAAGCGUACCAAGCCGACGAUCUGUAGCUGGUCUGAGAGGACGAUCAGCCACACUGGGACUGAGACACGGCCCAGACUCCUACGGGAGGCAGCAGUGGGGAAUUGUUCGCAAUGGGCGCAAGCCUGACGACGCAACGCCGCGUGGAGGAUGAAGGUCUUCGGAUUGUAAACUCCUGUUGACCGGGACGAACUCCUCCGGGGUGAACAACCUCGGAGGCUGACGGUACCGGUUGAGGAAGCCCCGGCUAACUCUGUGCCAGCCGCCGCGGUAA
rnacentral:rRNA from 1 species